rnacentral:rRNA from 1 species
AUUGAACGCUGGCGGCAGGCCUAACACAUGCAAGUCGAGCGAGCGGCGGACGGGUGAGUAAUGUAUGGGGAACUGCCUGAUGGAGGGGGAUAACUACGGGAAACGGUAGCUAAUACCGCAUACCAUCAGAUGAACCCAUAUGGGAUUAGCUUGUAGGUGGGGUAACGGCUCACCUAGGAGACGAUCCCUAGCUGGUCUGAGAGGAUGAACAGCCACACUGGGACUGAGACACGGCCCAGACUCCUACGGGAGGCAGCAGUGGGGAAUAUUGCACAAUGGGCGCAAGCCUGAUGCAGCCAUGCCGCGUGUAUGAAGAAGGCCUUCGGGUUGUAAAGUACUUUCAGUCGGGAGGCGUUACCGACAGAAGAAGCACCGGCUAACUCCGUGCCAGCAGCCGCGGUAAUAC